rnacentral:rRNA from 1 species
GCUCAGGAUGAACGCUGGCGGCGUGCUUAACACAUGCAAGUCGAGCGAAGCGCUUAAGUCUGAUUCUUCGGAUGAAGACUUUUGUGACUGAGCGGCGGACGGGUGAGUAGCGCGUGGGUAACCUGCCUCAUACAGGGGGAUAACAGUUAGAAAUGACUGCUAAUACCGCAUAAGACCACGGUACCGCAUGGUACAGUGGUAAAAACUCCGGUGGUAUGAGAUGGACCCGCGUCUGAUUAGGUAGUUGGUGGGGUAACGGCCUACCAAGCCGACGAUCAGUAGCCGACCUGAGAGGGUGACCGGCCACAUUGGGACUGAGACACGGCCCAGACUCCUACGGGAGGCAGCAGUA